rnacentral:rRNA from 1 species
CCAGCCACGGGAAUACAGAGGGUGCGAGCGUUAAUCGGAUUUACUGGGCGUAAAGCGUGCGUAGGCGGCUUCUUAAGUCGGAUGUGAAAUCCCUGAGCUUAACUUAGGAAUUGCAUUCGAUACUGGGAAGCUAGAGUAUGGGAGAGGAUGGUAGAAUUCCAGGUGUAGCGGUGAAAUGCGUAGAGAUCUGGAGGAAUACCGAUGGCGAAGGCAGCCAUCUGGCCUAAUACUGACGCUGAGGUACGAAAGCAUGGGGAGCAAACAGGAUUAGAUACCCCCGUAGUCCCUGUCUCUUAUACAC